rnacentral:rRNA from 1 species
UCUCUCUGAAUCUGCGAACGGCUCCGCAAACCAGUUGUAAACCAUAGCAAGCAUGCUCCAGGAAAGCCGCAAGGCAGCCCUGGGGCUACAAGGAUAACCCCGGUAAUUCUGAGGCUAAUACAUGAACGUAACCCCUGGUCGAUGGGCAACCUGAGGCUGGGGACCGUGCGAGACCUCGCAAAAAUUUAUCGGAAAAGUCGCAUCGUAAGACCGCCAUACCAAACAGUCCUUUUCUGUCGCCCUCACGGGAGGCCGGAUCGUUCUGGGCGGCUCUUGCAAGGUGCUUCUGACCUAUCAACUAGAUGGCAGCGUAAGGGACAUGCUAUGGUGACAACGGGUACAGAGGAUAAGGGUUCGAUCCUGGAGAGUGGGCCUGAGAGAUU